rnacentral:rRNA from 1 species
CCCGGUGGUGAUAGCGAGGGUGUUCCACCCGUUCCCAUCCCGAACACGGAAGUUAAGCCCCUCUGCGCCGAUGGUACUGCGUGGGUAACUGCGUGGGAGAGUAGGUCGUCGCCGGGA